CAACUCUCGAUUUGCCCAGCAUCGCACACAUGCUUCCAGAAACACUCAUCAGUUCACGCGCUCGAAUCCUCACGAGGAACGCCGAUCAAUAAUCGUAUAGAGAGAACAUACGAGACGAUCCGGCGCUGCCUUCUCGCCGUCUUCAACUUCUUGCAAGCCGUCCGUUGCAGCUGGUCGAGUUGGACCUCUCGGCGGUGAGCUACAGAGGAACUACAUAAUUGAAUCUUGUGCAUGACCUUACUGUGCAAUGGCUGAUUCAUCUGACUCGUCAUUUUUUGAUCGUAUGAUCAGUCAACUUCGGACAACAUGCAAGUAUUAUACUGGCUAUCCAAAGGAUCUUGGACCAUCAAGGGUUGUUCAUUUUACCUCAGAGCGUGAGUUUGUCCAGCUCCUUCAUGAAGGUUAUCCUGUUGUUGUUGCAUUUACUAUAAGGGGCAACUAUACGAAACAUCUUGACAAAGUAUUGGAAGAAGCUGCUGCCGAGUUUUAUCCAGAUAUUAAAUUUAUGCGUGUUGAGUGUCCAAAAUAUCCUGGAUUUUGCAUAACACGGCAGAGAAAGGAGUAUCCAUUUAUUGAAAUAUUUCACAGCCCACAACAAGUAUGGUACACCUCACCUUGUUCACUACAAUCUUACUGCUGUGUCUCGAAGUCUCAUGAGAAGAGAUUGUAAUGGUCUAAUGGAUCCAUUCCAUGACUCGAUCAACCAGAAAGCAUCUGGCCAGGGAAGGAUGGCUGAUCCAAAUGUCACGAAAUACAACGUGAAGGUCUUGCCUCUGUAGAAUACUGAUGAGCUUCACAAAAAUUUCAUUUAUCUAUGGGUGUGCAGUUUAACUACGAUCUCAGUGCUUAUGGAUUUAGAGAAUUUUUUAAGCGUCAUGGAAUACAGGCAUCAAACCCCAAGUAAAAAUACUGCAAAAUGUUUGAAUGUAACCCAACCAUUAAUUAUUAAUUAAUGGAAUAAUAUGUGCAUACUUGCAUGCGCUGUGUUUGGUCCUAUAAAGGAUUUGUCUGCUUAAUUUUUUUUUAAAUUGCAGUUUGCAGUUUAAAUUUAACUGUUUUGAGGAAGUAAACAUGCAAAUGGAAAAAGUUAUGCUGGAUAAUUUUUUCCUGAUUAUCAAAAUCGUUGAUGGUUCCUACUCAGAAGAA